GAUGAACGCUAGCUACAGGCUUAACACAUGCAAGUCGAGGGGCAGCAUGACCUCGCAAUAGGUUGAUGGCGACCGGCGCACGGGUGAGUAACACGUAUCCAACCUGCCGAUUAUUCCGGGAUAGCCUUUCGAAAGAAAGAUUAAUACUGGAUAGCAUAACGAGAAGGCAUCUUCUUGUUAUUAAAGAAUUUCGAUAAUCGAUGGGGAUGCGUUCCAUUAGUUUGUUGGCGGGGUAACGGCCCACCAAGACAUCGAUGGAUAGGGGUUCUGAGAGGAAGGUCCCCCACAUUGGAACUGAGACACGGUCCAAACUCCUACGGGAGGCAGCAGUGAGGAAUAUUGGUCAAUGGACGAGAGUCUGAACCAGCCAAGUAGCGUGAAGGAUGACUGCCCUAUGGGUUGUAAACUUCUUUUAUAUGGGAAUAAAGUGGGCCACGUGUGGCUUUUUGUAUGUACCAUACGAAUAAGGAUCGGCUAACUCCGUG
rnacentral:rRNA from 1 species